rnacentral:rRNA from 1 species
AACGUAGGUGGCGAGCGUUAUCCGGAUUUACUGGGCGUAAAGGGUGUGCAGGCGGGCCAUUAAGUGGUGUAUGAAAAUAUCCCGGCUCAACCGGGAGAGGUUAUGCCAGACUGGUGGUCUAGAGAGCGAGAGAGGGACGUGGAAUUCCGGGUGUAGUGGUGAAAUGCGUAGAGAUCCGGAGGAACCCCAGAGGCGAAGGCGGCGUCCUGGCUCGCAUCUGACGCUCAGACACGACAGCAUGGGGAGCGAACGGG